CGGAGCGGUCAUGACUCACACCUGAAACAACGGCGGUCUAAGAGCAGCAGCGGGAGAAAAAUCUCCCGCCUCUGGCUUAGAGUCGGCCAGCCCUCCGUUUCAGUGCUGUAUGAAGCUAAACUGCAAAGCAAAGACAUCCCUAAAUGGCCUCAUCUGGAUACUGGAUAUUCAACUGUGACGUGAUGCCAAUGGACUUGCAACACACCAUGCUAGAGAGCGCUGUGAGGACACCAUACAAGUCAUUCUGCUGAUAACAUAGCGAGGAUGCACAGAGCCUUGUCAGAACAACAACGCAGAACAGCUGUGGCGUGCUGCUAAAAUCUCCCUCCCUCCUCGGCUCACACCUGCUGAUCCAACAAGAGGCCAAAACUUAGGAUCAGGUCACGGCUUCCCCAGGGGCCCCCUCAUGUCCGAGACGGUCGACCUUUGGCACGUCGAAUGGAACGGAAGCGUCAGAGCAAAAAAAAAAAAAAUGUUGUCUGCUGUGUCCACAAGUACGUGCAGAGCUUCUCCUCGGCUCUCCACCCCUCCACUGCUGCAGACAAAUCAAUGGCCAAUAUCCAGCCGUGAAGGGAGGAGAAUUUGUGUCUUUU